UGUUACGUCACACAAGGACGCUACAUCAGCUUUUUUUUUACAACUCAGAAGCUUAGCUGCCUUUUUCCGUUAAAGUCAAAGCAUUUAACGGUUUUUUUAACUGUGUUAGAAAAGUCAAGUACAGAGAGUUGACUGUGAGAAAAAAAGUUCAGUGACCCAUUUGUAAGUUGACAUAAAGUACAGUAACUUAGAAUGCAUUUAACCC
rnacentral:lncRNA from 1 species